rnacentral:lncRNA from 1 species
UUAUUUAUUUUUUAUUUUUGAACACAUUAUUCGGUAUUUACAUUGGGGCCCGACUAAUCUGGAUUUGCGACGGAAAAUCCCAUAUUGAAGGGUAAAGCGUUCCCUAACAAAGGUGACUUCAUGCCCACUGGCUUCCAAAACGUUAUUAUACUGAAGAUACAACAUAGAAAAUCAAGCAAAGUAUAGUAGUUCAACUGUCGCUAAUUAGUCGCAGAG